rnacentral:lncRNA from 7 species
AGGGAAGAAUUCUUCCUCUACUUUUGUUCACUUCUGAGUUUGUUUCUUGGCACCCUCUUCCUUAAUGUGAGGUCAGCCAGAGUACUUUCACAGUUUUUCCUGUCUGUUUUGUCGUUUGUUUCUGUUUCGCAGGCUUACAGCUCCGAAGUCUUUCCAAGAGAGAAGAGAAACCAAACUGGAAGAUGAGAGCAUUGCACAGGCACCAAAUGCUGUUUCUGUUCAACCUUUGUUUCAUCGAGAAAAGUGGGUGUCUAAAAUCAAAGCACGCAUUACUUCCCAUCACUUACUUGUAAUCUGAGACUAGUGUUUUAGUGGAGUCUGCUGCCAGACUACAGAGAAAAGGAAACUUAGUGGAUCACCAGGUUUUUCAGCCUCUGAGAAAGAUAACCAACCAAGAGGCUUCAUGAAUUUCUUGAGAAGAUAGAGGAUCUACUGAAGUUACCACUUCUUUCAGAAAACCAUGGCUGUCAAUGACUAAGGCAUGAACAAAGAAAGCUAAAUCUAUUUUAUCUUAUGUUAUAAAAUGUAAAGGAAAUGAUACUUCCAUAAUGUUUUAGGCCUUUCUGCAGAAUUUGUGAAAAUGCAGAAGAAUGGUGUUAGAUCCGGAAUAUGUAGUUUAGGUGGGAGAUUUCUUAGUAAUAAACAGCUUUG